rnacentral:rRNA from 1 species
AGGGUUUGAUCAUGGCUCAGAUUGAACGCUGGCGGCAUGCCUUACACAUGCAAGUCGAACGGCAGCACGGGAGCAAUCCUGGUGGCGAGUGGCGAACGGGUGAGUAAUAUAUCGGAACGUGCCCAGUCGUGGGGGAUAACGUAGCGAAAGCUACGCUAAUACCGCAUACGAUCUAUGGAUGAAAGCGGGGGAUCGCAAGACCUCGCGCGAUUGGAGCGGCCGAUAUCAGAUUAGGUAGUUGGUGGGGUAAAAGCUCACCAAGCCGACGAUCUGUAGCUGGUCUGAGAGGACGACCAGCCACACUGGGACUGAGACACGGCCCAGACUCCUACGGGAGGCAGCAGUGGGGAAUUUUGGACAAUGGGCGCAAGCCUGAUCCAGCAAUGCCGCGUGCAGGAUGAAGGCCUUCGGGUUGUAAACUGCUUUUGUACGGAGCGAAAAGGCUCUCUCUAAUACAGGGGGCUCAUGACGGUACCGUAAGAAUAAGCACCGGCUAACUACGUGCCAGCAGCCGCGGUAAUACGUAGGGUGCAAGCGUUAAUCGGAAUUACUGGGCGUAAAGCGUGCGCAGGCGGUUAUGUAAGACAGAUGUGAAAUCCCCGGGCUCAACCUGGGAACUGCAUUUGUGACUGCAUAGCUAGAGUAC